rnacentral:rRNA from 1 species
GAUGAACGCUGGCGGCGUGCCUAAUACAUGCAAGUCGAGCGAACGGACGAGAAGCUUGCUUCUCUGGUGUUAGCGGCGGACGGGUGAGUAACACGUGGAUAACCUACCUAUAAGACUGGGAUAACUUCGGGAAACCGUAGCUAAUACCGGAUAAUAUUUUGAACCGCAUGGUUCAAAAGUGAAAGACGGUCUUGCUGUCACUUAUAGAUGGAUCCGCGCUGCAUUAGCUAGUUGGUAAGGUAACGGCUUACCAAGGCAACGAUGCAUAGCCGACCUGAGUGGGUGAUCGGCCACACUGGAACUGAGACACGGUCCAGACUCCUACGGGAGGCAGCAGUAGGGAAUCUUCCGCAAUGGGCGAAAGCCUGACGGAGCAACGCCGCGUGAGUGAUGAAGGUCUUCGGAUCGUAAAACUCUGUUAUUAGGGAAGAACAUAUGUGUAAGUAACUGUGCACAUCUUGACGGUACCUAAUCAGAAAGCCACGGCUAACUACGUG